GCCUGGGUGGCUCAGUCGGUUGGGCGUGUGACUUCGGCCCAGUUCAUGAUCUCGCAGUUUGUGGGUUCGAGCCCCAUGUCGGGCU
rnacentral:tRNA from 1 species